UGGGGAAUCUUGGACAAUGGGCGCAAGCCUGAUCCAGCCAUGCCGCGUGAGUGAAGAAGGUCUUCGGAUUGUAAAGCUCUUUUGCCAGGGACGAUAAUGACGGUACCUGGAGAAUAAGCCCCGGCAAACUUCGUGCCAGCAGCCGCGGUAAUACGAAGGGGGCUAGCGUUGUUCGGAAUUACUGGGCGUAAAGCGCACGUAGGCGGGUCGUUAAGUCAGGGGUGAAAUCCCGGAGCUCAACUCCGGAACUGCCUUUGAUACUGGCGAUCUCGAGAUCGGAAGAGGUGAGUGGAAUUCCCAGUGUAGAGGUGAAAUUCGUAGAUAUUGGGAAGAACACCAGUGGCGAAGGCGGCUCACUGGUCCGAUACUGACGCUGAGGUGCGAAAGCGUGGGGAGCAAACAGG
rnacentral:rRNA from 1 species